GCGUCCUUCUACCGCCAGCUCCUGCUGGUCGAUGCUACAGAUGAUGAGAUAACUAUAGCUACAAGGAUGCUGCGCUAGCUUUGACAACAACACGAGGACGACGAGGCCUAGAAGGAUGCAUCCCGACCUUCUUCUUCUUACAGCUCCAAGCAGGAGCAGGGCAGCAGUGAUUCCCUGACACUAACUCAGUGACCAGAAAAGAUCCUAAAACAUCCUGGAGGAGUUCCAGAUGGUUUGCCAAGAAGGUCUUCAGCAUGUUGACCAUUAUGCAGUGACCACAUGGAUGAUCCAUCACAUGGAUGACCGCGCUUCACAGCGAUGCCCAUCCUUGGCUCCGUGCCCGAUGCCAGCAGACCCUCGCGGGAACCACAGAAACAUUCCUCCGGACCCAGAGAGUACCCCGAAACCGCAACUCUCGAACCAGUUGGUGAGUCUGCGUUGCAUCUGUUUAUGAUAGUUUAGCGCAGGAGGGGAAAAUCCCGAAAGGGUGGAGUUUGUUCAUGUCUUUUGGAUGGUUGGCAAGAA